CUUAUAGUAUAAGUUAUACAAAAUAAUGGUUUUAGUUUUAAAUAUUCAGGGGCGGAGAAUGACACAGUCUUCAGUACAAGUGGAAUUGAUUAUUUGCCACGAAUUAGAUUGUCCACGAGCGGACAGAGGCAGUCGACGUCAGAUCCAUACUACCGAUAUGACAAUCGGAGUGGAAAUCUUUCUCCUUCAAGUGAACAGUUUCAAUCGAAUUCAGCUAAAAACUACUUUCGAUAUUGGUGACAGUUUGUUUUUGUUUUAUAAAAAGUGGAUAUAAGGCCCUGAAUUCUUACCAGAUCUGCCAUCACUGAUCAGUCAGAGAUGUGUUGUUUAAUUUCCUUUUUUUAUAAAAUAUGUUAAUAUCUUCCUUUUAUGAUUAAAUCUGACUGGCUUACUUGUGUGUAUAUAUACUGGACAAAAGUUCUGUGAAGUCAGUCAGAGUAAAAUAUGUUAUAGGAAUUCUCAUAGAGCUGACUCAUGAAAAAUUGUGAAAAAAUUUAAAGAAUUUCAACGCAAAUAAAUUCUGCACCAUGUAUGGAUUUGCAUCAUGCUGACGGAUAAUAUAGAUUUUUGUAUUAUGUUUAA